rnacentral:lncRNA from 1 species
AGAAAAGCGGGGACAGCUCUAUUAGACAUGAAACUGUGACCACGCUUCAGAGUCCCCUUUCCCACAGCAGCCAAGUUGCAAACAAAAGGGGGUAAAAGGACAAGGAAAUCUUACCACUUGCACAAGAAAACGGAAAGGAAGAUGGCAAAAGCUGACGCUACUGAUGCUUAUCUCUAAAGGACUCUGGAAAGCCACACCUCCCUCCCUCCAGAAACACCCGAGGGAGGGGUGGUUAGCUUAUUAGUGGACUUCAGGAGGCAACAGAUUUCAGUGAGUGUUGACAUCUGUCCUAACUCACUUCCCUAAACCACACUCAGCCUUCUCCAGCAAGAUCCAGCGUGAGGACAUCAAGGUGUUUCCUAACAGUGAGUGCCUUGUACACACUAGGCAACUAGCGAACAUUCACUGAUGGAUUAUAAAACAGAGAAGGGGUGGAGAACAUCCAACAUGGGGAUUCUGUGUGCUCUUGUAAGAUGUUUCUGCAGUUCCACCCUCGCCCUUCGCUCGUCCACUCAGGUACUGUCUGAAUUGUCAACUUCAAUUCUUGGGGUGGUUUUACAAGAAGGAACUGGAAGCAGACUCUGCUAUCAAUGAACUUUCAUCGUAAGGAGCCAAAACAGAGGCUGGAGCAAUGAGUCAGUGGUUAAGAGCACUGGCUUGCUCUUCCAGAGAACCCUGGGGUCAAGUUCAAUUCUCAGCAACUAAGGACAGCUUACAACUGUCUGAAAGUCCAGUACCCUCUCUUCUGGCUUCUGUGGGCACCGCAUGUAAGUGGUGCAAAGACAUACACGUGACAAACACCUAAAAUAAUAAAAUAUGCUAUUUCUUUUAAAAGCAGAAGCAAGCACAGAGUGAGGAGUUAUCAUAUAGAAAGGAAGUAUAAGAUCCUGGAGUCCAGAGGGUGGGUAAAGAUAGAGCUAGAAGCCCCCGGGGUCUCCUUAAGGAGGGGGCCCAUGGGCUUGAUAUUCGUUAAGGUCACUGUUACACAGCCAUUCUGCUGUGGAUUGGAAAGAAACACUCGGGCACUGAAAGCUUGACACCCCAGCAUGCUGGUCCUGUUGAGAGACAUGGAUCAUGAGUACGCUAACUUCAUCAGUGGAUUAGUUUUCUCAAGGUGUCAGAGCUGAAUGGGCUGUUAGGAGGUAGAACAUGAUUGGAAGUGGGGUUUUAAAGGGUACAGUUUGUGUCUGGCCUCUUCCUUUCUCUUUUUCUUUCUCUCUUUGUCUGUCUGUCUCUCUGUCUCUCUGUGUCUCUUUCGGUUUCUCUCUGUUUUAUUAUCUUGCUGUUUCUCUCUCUCUCUCUCUCUCUCUCUCUCUCUCUCUCUCUCUCACUCUCUCUUGCUCUUGCUCUCUUUCUCUUGUCUAUGAUGGCGUGAGUCACUAUCUCCAUCACUUGCUUCCUGUCAGGAUGUUCUGCCUCACCCAAAAGCAAUGGACCCCAGGAGGUGCUGGAUCACAACGGUCAGCGCUUCAAACUUGGUGUUACCACGGGAAAGAAGCUGUCUGAGGUGCAGGAUGAAUCCACUUUGGCUUUCACAUUUUGUCUUGUAUUGGGCCAACUCAAGCGUUCUCUCGGAGGACAGCACAUCUGGAGCUGUCUGGGUCUGGAUGCAUAGGCUCCUGGGAUUCUUCUGCCUGCCCUUUUCAACUGCAAGAGGAAGGAAAGAAAAGCACAAAGAAGAUGCGCGUGAGGUUAACUAAUUUUUAUAACCACCACCACCACAUGGGGCUCACAACCAGCCUACUGCCGCCACACCAGAGCAUCUGAACCAUGUUUUACGUUGGGACGUACACAUGGUGGCAGGCUGGAGUAGAUCGGGGAUCAGGAUGGGUGGAACUCGUCAACAGGGCCAAUGGCUUUAGUUCUCACUGUGAAGAUUUAAUGGGGAGUUAUGCACAUGAGCCAAACAGAUUUAGCAACUCAGAAACAUAAAACACUGGAGGCAGGGAAGAGGCAAAAUAGUGACUUCGUGGCCUUUAUUUUUAAUUCACCAUUGUUGUCUGUGUUCAUGAUGUUAUGUGCAUGAGAGUACAGGUUCUCAAAGACUACUGCGGUCCUGUGGCGGUCAGAGGACCACCUCCUAGAGCUGGUUUCCUUUUACUAUGAGUUCCAGGAUCAAGCGCAGGUCACUAGGCUUGCAUGGCAAGCACUUUCACCUGCUGAGCCAUCCCUCCAACUCCACUUCAUAGUUUUUACUCUUCCAGUUAAGUUGACAAAUCUGAAAGUCCUUUCCUGUGUCUGUUGGGGUAGUCCCGCGAUUUCUGUCCUUGAGUCCGUUUGUGUGUGCAUACGCGCAUGUGUAUGUAAGGGGGCAGGGGGAGAGAGAACGAAUGUGAGUCUGCUAUCACAGUGACGCAGUAAAUUAUACCAGGUGACGAAAAGGAACAAGAGUGGCACUGCACUCAUGACACAGGCUGAACAAAGUACAAUUAUACAGUAGGCAGAACUAAGACACACUAUUCAAACGGUUUCCCAUUUUGGAGAAAUGCUGAAGCUAGCCGGUAGUGCACUUAAAUCUAGGAUGCGGUUUAAAUCCCCUUGUGUCUUCAAACAGACGAUGAAAGGGUAUGAUUAAAAAGCAGAGAUUUAAAAAAAAAAAGAAAAGAAAAGAAAAAAGAAAUCAUGGGAUAAGCACUGAGGAAAAUUCUGAUUAUUGGACUUGAAAUGCUUUUCUUUCCUCUCGAAGGCUCCUUUUUAAAAAAUUUGUUAGACUGGGCAUGGUGACACACACUUUUAAUUUAAUUGCUUGGGGGCUGGGGGUGGGGAGGCAGGUGGAUCUCUGAGUUCCAAGACAGCCUGGUCUACAGAGGUUUUGUAGGCCAACUGAGGAGGCGCACUGAGACCCUGCCACCAAAUAAAUGAGUACAUGUGUUAUUUUUGUUUGUUUGUCAGCAUGCUAAGUAAUAGGCUUCAUUAUAGUAUUUCAUAGAUGAUUUGUUUAAGUUUUAGUAAGUUCUUCACAGUUGCUUGCUGGUCUGCCUCCUCCACCCUAAAGCCCUCCCAUUUUCCCAGGAAACCCUUCCUCCUUUACCUCACUGCCCCCUGUACCCUUUCCACAAACACCUCCCACAGAGCUGUCUUCCCCGCUGUCUUUCUGGUCAUUGUCACAGUCUACUCUGCAGAUGUCACCGAAAUCUAAUGACCCAGCAUAUACACUGGAGAUCCUGCACUUUGCUCCUCCGAGGUUACUGGGAAAAGCAGCGUGUGCCUGUGCGCCUGGAUACACUGCCUCAUUUUUCAACAAGCGCAAACUUCGUUCCCCGUGUAGUA